CCUGGCUCAGAGUGAAAGGGUGAGGUAGGCCUAACACAUGCAAGUCGAACGGCAGCACAGGAGAGCUUGCUCUCUGGGUGGCGAGUGGCGGACGGGUGAGGAAUACAUCGGAAUCUACUUUUUCGUGGGGGAUAACGUAGGGAAACUUACGCUAAUACCGCAUACGACCUACGGGUGAAAGCAGGGGAUCUUCGGACCAUGCGCGAUUGAAUGAGCCGAUGUCGGAUUAGCUAGUUGGCGGGGUAAAGGCCCACCAAGGCGACGAUCCGUAGCUGGUCUGAGAGGAUGAUCAGCCACACUGGAACUGAGACACGGUCCAGACUCCUACGG
rnacentral:rRNA from 1 species